CCUACGGGAGGCAGCAGUGAGGAAUAUUGGACAAUGGAGGCAACUCUGAUCCAGCCAUGCCGCGUGCAGGAUGACGGCCCUAUGGGUUGUAAACUGCUUUUAUAUAGGAAGAAACCUUUUCACGUGUGAGAAGCUGACGGUACUAUAAGAAUAAGGACCGGCUAACUCCGUGCCAGCAGCCGCGGUAAUACGGAGGGUCCGAGCGUUAUCCGGAAUCAUUGGGUUUAAAGGGUCCGUAGGCGGGAAUCUAAGUCAGUGGUGAAAUCUUGCAGCUCAACUGUAAAAUUGCCAUUGAUACUGGAUUUCUUGAAUUAGUGUGAAGUGGUUAGAAUGUGUAGUGUAGCGGUGAAAUGCAUAGAUAUUACACAGAAUACCAAUUGCGAAGGCAGAUCACUAACACUAUAUUGACGCUGAGGGACGAAAGCGUGGGGAGCGAACAGGAUUAGAUACCCUGGUAGUCCACGCCGUAAACGAUGGAUACUAGCUGUUCGAUCUUCGGAUUGAGUGGCUAAGCGAAAGUGAUAAGUAUCCCACCUGGGGAGUACGUUCGCAAGAAUGAAACUCAAAGGAAUUGACGG
rnacentral:rRNA from 1 species